rnacentral:siRNA from 1 species
CCCAACUCAGCCAACGUGGGAUC